UAGUUUGGGCCAACACUGGGAACUUCUUUCAGCUUAGUGCAUUAGUGACUACAUUUUCUCUAUCGGGGUGGUAGAUGAUCUUCUAGUUAUAGUCCUUUAGGAGAUCCAUUCAUCGUCUUUGUCUCAUAUUUAACUCCCUUUGCAAGAAGAUGUACUUCAAUGUACUUCAAACUCUUAUGAUAAGUGUAAAUCUCGAAAGUCUGACCAAACAGGUAAUGACACUCU
rnacentral:lncRNA from 1 species